rnacentral:rRNA from 1 species
UCCUACGGGAGGCAGCAGUGAGGAAUAUUGGACAAUGGGUGAGAGCCUGAUCCAGCCAUCCCGCGUGAAGGAUGACGGUCCUACGGAUUGUAAACUUCUUUUGUAUAGGGAUAAACCUCUCUACGUGUAGAGAGCUGAAGGUACUAUACGAAUAAGCACCGGCUAACCCCGUGCCAGCAGCCGCGGUAAU